rnacentral:rRNA from 1 species
UACAGAGGUCUCGAGCGUUGUUCGGAUUCAUUGGGCGUAAAGGGCGCGUAGGCGGCGGGGUAAGUCUGGUGUGAAAUCUCGGAGCUCAACUCCGAAAUUGCACUGGAUACUGCUCUGCUAGAGGGCUGGAGAGGAGAUCGGAAUUCACGGUGUAGCAGUGAAAUGCGUAGAUAUCGGGAGGAACAUCAGUUGCGAAGGCGGCUCUCUGGACCAGUACUGACGCUGAGGCACGAAAGCGUGGGGAGCAAACAGG